rnacentral:rRNA from 1 species
UUUUCUAGAGGAGCACGUGGAGAGGGCUCAACCGAGUUUUUACCUCUCCCAAACACAAUGUAAAUUUUCACAAACUGUUCCCUGGGGGGUCUCUCUCCCCCGUGUGUGGCACACCCCGGCCCCAGCGCCCCCCCGAGAGCCCCCCCCAACUCUUUUUUUAUAUCCCCCCUCGCGGGUUUUUUAUAAUCUGAGCCUUCUCGGCGCCUCUCGUAGGCGUUUCGAAAAUGAAUCAAAACUUUCAACAACGGAUCUCUUGGUUCUGGCAUCGAUGAAGAACGCAGCGAAAUGCGAUAAGUAAUGUGAAUUGCAGAAUUCAGUGAAUCAUCGAAUCUUUGAACGCACAUUGCGCCCGCCAGUAUUCUGGCGGGCAUGCCUGUCCGAGCGUCAUUUCAACCCUCGAACCCCUCCGGGGGGUCGGCGUUGGGGAUCGGCCCCGCCUUGGCGGUGGCCGUCUCCGAAAUACAGUGGCGGUCUCGCCGCAGCCUCUCCUGCGCAGUAGUUUGCACACUCGCAUCGGGAGCGCGGCGCGUCCACAGCCGUUAAACACCCAACUUCUGAAAUGUUGACCUCGGAUCAGGUAGGAAUACCCGCUGAACUUAAGCAUAUCAAUAAGCGGAGGAA